rnacentral:rRNA from 1 species
GACGAACGCUGGCGGCGUGCUUAACACAUGCAAGUCGAACGGAAAGGCCCUGCUUUUGUGGGGUGCUCGAGUGGCGAACGGGUGAGUACCACGUGAGUAACCUGCCCUUGACUUUGGGAUAACUUCAGGAAACUGGGGCUAAUACCGGAUAGGAGCUCCUGCUGCAUGGUGGGGGUUGGAAAGUUUCGGCGGUUGGGGAUGGACUCGCGGCUUAUCAGCUUGUUGGUGGGGUAGUGGCUUACCAAGGCUUUGACGGGUAGCCGGCCUGAGAGGGUGACCGGCCACAUUGGGACUGAGAUACGGCCCAUACUCCUACGGGAGGCAGCAGUGGGGAAUAUUGCACAAUGGGCGGAAGCCUGAUGCAGCAACGCCGCGUGCGGGAUGACGGCCUUCGGGUUGUAAACCGCUUUCGCCUGUGACGAAGCGUGAGUGACGGUAAUGGGUAAAGAAGCACCGGCUAACUACGUG